UUGACGUGAGCUCAAGCUUUCCGCUUAGAAGAGUAGUUGCUAGCAGUGCUAGUGAAGCUGCGUAUACUGUAACUUUCCUGAAGUCGUCAAUUUUUUCUACGCUGCAUACGCACCCUCAUGAUAAUCCUGGUUGUCAUAGAACAUGCCACCUAGACGGGCUCGAGUCCCUGCAACUCUCGAGAGCCGCAUCAAGCAAGGUCUGCAAUACUUUGCUGGCCUGCGCGAGGACGAGGCAGCAGAUGUUGCCCGUGCAAAGGACCUGGGCGAUGCACUCCUUGAAGCUGACAUGAACAUUAUCAGCAAUACCGGGAUUUUGAGCGGCAUCGUGGCUGCGCAUGCCUGGGCCGCGCGUGCGCUUGCCGUUGACGUUCUGAACGACUCGGCUUACGUCGCUUUUGUAGCGACCGCAACUAAUCUAGGAGAACUGCUCAGCAGCCAGCCGGGCGACCAAGCUUACGGCAGGCAGGACCGGUUGGUCCGAGCCCUGCUGAGGGCGGACACGCUCGCCGUGCACGCGAGGCUGUGUACGGACGCUCGCGCCCACCCGCGGGGCCGCCGCCCGCCGCAGCCUCCGGCCACCGGAUGCAAUCAAGCGGGAUCUGGUAUGGCGUGUCCUCCAGAACCUCUCCACGAUUGCCCGAUUUGUGAACAACAGCCGGGAUGCUGGCCUCAAGCACGAGCUGGUGACGGCGCUGGCGCACACGCAGCUGCUCGAGCACGCCGCGCGGGCGCUGCUAAGCGCCGCCCAGGCCAUUCAGCCCGCAUCCAGCGAAGGAACUUCAGGGGCGGCUGCAGCUUCGGGAACGGGGCUUCCACCUGAGAGCUGGAUAACCGUGUCGGGCGUAGCAACCACAUUUGCCCACGCGCUUUCGUGCCUGGUGGGCACAGACCUGCGCACUACCGCGCUGUGCCCACGACCCCGCGAACGGGACGCAUCUGUGGAGGUGUCGCAGAAUUCGAGGCAGCUACAACUGCUGGAGCAGCUGCGGCCGCUGCUGGCCAGCCGCUGCGUGCAGCUCUGCACGGGAUGGGCGGGCCUGUGUGCGGCCAUUACCGUACGGCAGCGGGCAGCGGACGACAGCGCUCAGCAGGGCUUGGUACCAACUGCGUCGCAGCUGUGGCACGGGCUGCCGUCGGAGCUGAUACGGCCGCUGCAGCUGCCGCCGCAGGCCACUGUGUCAAGCCAGGAUAUGGUGCGCACAGCGACCCUGGUACGUAUACGGUACUCGACCGCCGAUGCGCAAGAUGGGCUGCUGCGUUAGUUGACGGGGAGCUUGACGGGGAUAUAAGUGCAUGAACUGCAAUGCUCCCGGCGGGGCUCUCCGGUAUACAAUCUAGUGUUGGCAUUACAGGAACUUAGCGUUGACAUUAGCUCGCCAUUUGCUCGCCGCCUUGCAGGCACUGCCUAUGGUCCUGCAGGUGACGGUCAGCGGCCCCUGCGACCUGGCCAUCGCCCAGCCGCCCGUGGGCUACGACCGCCUGCCGCACAGGCAGCCACAGCCGCAGCGACCAUCGGCGGGGCCAUCAGCAGCGGGGUCAGCAGCAGCGGAGGGGCCGGCUGCAGCACCAGCACCAGCUUCGUACAGCGCCGUAAACGCGUACGGGCUGCUUAAGGCAUUAUGGCACUGCCUGGCCUGUGACCGCGCCACUUACACGUGCAACCUGUGCGCAGUCGCCACGGUAAUGACCCGGCUGCUGACGGAGCUGCGGCCGCGGCAGGCGGCGGUGCUGCUGCCGAGUUGGUGGCAGCUGCUGGCGCAGGAGCCGUCCAUGCUCAUUGAGGGGUACGGGCUUGCGCAGGACGCAGGGGAGCUGCUGCGGCUGCAGUUGAAUGCGCCGCCGCCGGUCGCGUGGGCUGUUGGGGUGACGGAUGCAGCUUCCGUGGCUGCGGCGAGUGUGGACUGGCCGCCGGAAGCGGCGGAGGUGCAGGACGCGGAGGCGGCGACAGCAGCGAAGGCAGCAGCCAGCCUGGCGCGUGAGAGGGACCCCAGCUACAGCCUCCGCUGCGCGCUGGACGCGGGGCUGCUGUCAGUUAUGGAACGGUGCCUUCGCGCGCCACAGGCCUGGCGGCAGUCCAACAGCGUGAGCAAGCUGCUGUACGUCGUAAACUGCGUGCUGCGCUACUCGGGCGUGUGGCCCGCGGUGCUGGCUCGCGGUCCCGUGCAGCAGGCGGUGUCGCUGAUUGCCACGCUGGGCGCAGCAGCUCGGCUGCUGCAGGAGAAGGACACGUCACUGGACGUGAUAAGCCGUGCCUCCCAGCCUGGCAUGCAAACAACGGCAAGGUGCGGCGCCGGCGGCUACCUGUGUGCCUACCUGUCCGCAAUGCUGGAGCAGGUCGUGGACGUGCGGGCGCUGGGCGAGGGCGCACAGCAGCAGCAGCAGCGGGAGGAGCAGCAGGCAGCAGCUAUCGAUGCUACGGCCACAGCCGCAAUUUCCACCCCACUGCACCUCAACUCGGUGCUGGAGCAGGUAGUGGAUUCGAAGGACGGCAGUGUCGAGCCCUCCACGUGCUCCAUCGCCUGGAUGGCGGCGGCGGGCGGCCUGCCAGCUGCCGGCUCCACAGCGUACCGGCAGCAGCAGCUGCUCACGAGCUUCGCGGUGUACCAGUGGCUGCCCAUGCUGGCAAAGGCAACGGAGGAUGCCUUGUGGAGUAGUGAGGCGGGCGCCGAGGGCUGGCUGUCGCAGGCGCUCCUGGUGGGGCACCUGGUGAUGGAUGUGCUCUGGCGCGAGGAGCGCCCGCCAGCUGAAGCCGACGAGGGCGCUGGCUCACACAACCGACGACAGGACGCGGCGUGGUGGGAGGGCGUGACGCAGACUGGCCAGCUUGCGAAGAGCAUGCACAAUAUUAUGGACGUGCUGGCAACAGACGCCGUAAGGCCGCUGCUGCUUGAGCACUGUGAACAGUGGCAGCAGGCAGCCGUGUUGGACCUGUUGCAAUCCUAUUGGACACGCUUUGCGGGGGCGGCGCGUGUCACGAUACGUGCGUGGGCGAUACGGGCGGCCGAACAACAGCAUCAGCGGACGGAUGGAAAGCAGCAGGCUGGGCAGGCGGCGGAGGGCGGGAAGGGCAGCAGCACGAGCAGCCUUGGCGACAGCACAGCACAGCAGCGGCAGGCGCCACCGCCCGAGCUAGUGCUGCAGUGCUUGACGCCGCUGCCGAUGCAGCAGCUGGCAGCGGUGCACGGGCGGCAGGACAUGGUGGAUUACCUGGACGCAGUAGCUAAGGGUUUGAGAGGGGAAAUGAUGAUUGAGUGCGGCAGUGCCGGCGCCGGCGGAAGCGGCAUGGGGGUGCAAGGGCCUGCCAGCAUGGAGGGCGGCGCGUCGCACGCUAGCGCCACGGCGGAUAGGUUGAGGGCGAAGUGGGUUGGCGCCGUGCGGCCGCGGUACCCGUGGCUGUUGUCUCAAGGCCAGGCACAGGCGGGGCUGCAUGACCUGAUGGUCGCAGAGGCGGCGGCUGCAGCGGCAGCUACUGCUACGGGCGAGCCCUCAGUAGCCUGCGGCGGCGGUGGCAGCAGCGGGAGCAGUAGCAGGAGCAGUAGUGGGCAGGGCAGCAGCAGCGAUGGGCCGGUAUUUGAGCACAAGCUGUGCUACAACCCGCGCUGCUGCUCGCUGGACGGCCCCAGCGUGUUGGUUGCGCCCCGCGGCGGCAAGACGUGUGUGCGGUGCCGUGCUGCCACGUAUUGCUGCGGCGCUUGCCAGCUUGUGGACUGGCGUGAGCGGCACUCUGGCACCUGCAGUGGAGCCGCCGCGGCGGCGGCAGGGUCAGCAGGGACAGCGAAGGCAGCGCUGAAGAAGGCAUGAACUGACGAAGUGCAACAGCAGUAUGGACCCGAAGACUGCGCUUCAAAUGCGGCGUUUUGCGGUUUGUAUGAGAGUGAGAGUGCGAUGCAUGGCGUGGACUCUUGGGUCGUUUGCCACGCCGAGCGUGCAGCAAGAAGCGCUCAAAAAGCCCAAUUGGCUCUGCUUUGCAUUAGCGCAUUACGGUUGAUGACCGCUGACGCGGGUGGUCCGCGCCUUCAUCGGCCGGGAUUACAGAGCGGACUCCACACCGAAUGUAUGAGUGCCAGACCUGCGAUGCUAAUCUUACUUCGCCAAGGCUAGCCUCCUCGCUCCUUUGAGGCUUGAUACCGUAUCAAGGUUUUGGGCAGGAGUAGGGGCAUCAUGAGCGGCGGCGGGGUAACAGGGUGGGGUACAGGCUGCAGUGUUGUUCGGGUUUGGGCGCGUUCUAGGCAUGUGGCACCCGUAUGUGGCAGAGCAAUUUGACUGUCCCCAACAUGUUUAUGUGCCCGCCGAGAAUGCUAAGCUGACGGUCUGAACUUCGCGGUUUUUGUAGUUGCACGACUGUAUGUCAUUAGAGUUUCGGCCAUUGUCGCAGGUGCAGGCGCAGUGCAGUAGAAUGCAGGGGCGUGGGCGAGGAGGAGAGGGCUGACGGACAGCUGGAGGCCGUGAUGCGGCGGUAGAUACGGUAGGUACAGGACUGGGAGGCGCACCAGGGACUUACCAGUGCACGGCUGAACGCGAUGGCUACAUGUGCGGACUGUGGAUGGGCUUGGAACAUCAGCUUAUGGAUGAGGGACGGUGCACUGCUGCCGCCGCAUUCGGCCUAUCACGGCAUGCGCUCAUAUGUCAUCAUCUCGCUCUACACCGCCAGUCGUUGGUGCCAGGGCAAGAGGCGGGGCCCCGGUAGAUGGGUGUGCAGGAGGGCGGGGUGGUUUGGCGGUAGGGAUGGGAGUGCGGAAGUGGACGACAAGGUCAAGCUUGCAGGAGGUGUUGUUUGUGGCAAAACAGCAGGAUGGUGGUAUGUGAGAUCGUUGUAAUAUGGGACAAGCAGCAUGAGGAUGCGAUGACGAGGAUCAAGUUCAUGAGCAUGCCAUCAGGUGAAAUUGAACAAGAAAGGUCGCAAGGAAGGGCGUGCUGCGGCUGCAAGUUGGUAGGGGUUAGGGAGGAGGGUGGCGUUCCUGGCCACUGGCGAUCCACUGGGUCACCUGCGCAAGGUAGGUGGUGGCGAGCUCCUUGUUGGGGGGGGGGCGGUGUGGCACAGCCGCACAGCCGGUUUGGUGGUUGGAUGACGUUGGCAGUGCCGGGCCAGUUCCUGAUACCUUCCGUACUCGUGAUGAGCCAUGUGUGCCAUCCCUACUCGUGAUGAUCUGUCACGACCAUCUGCCGGUUUGUGCCUAGCUCGUCACCUUAUCGGUGCCGGCCAUAUCGCGCUGCCAACAAUUUCGCCCUCAAUCCAUCCAUCGCACGGCACGGCACCAGCGAGGCUCUGAUGGCUCUCCGUCGGCCUAGGUGCCACACAAGGGCGGGCGAUGCUCACAAAGCCAAGCACGUGCAUGUGCUCGGCGUACGGCAAUGCACGCCAGUUCAUUCGUUACGUAACGCGUCACGUGUAAUCAACUAGCAUCCUUGUGGUCACGGCCUGGACUGUAUGGAUCACAGUGCUCUGCGCCGCCAUGCCCCCGGUAUGCUCUGUGGAUGGAAUGCCUGCAGCACCUGCCAGGUGUGGCGUGGUUCGCUCGACUCCUACACAUCGCACCUCCUAGCCCUUUGCCAAGGGGCCGCCAGUUGCUCCGCAGUCCGUACGUGGACCACCCAGCGUGGUGUUGUUCGGUGUCCAGUGAUGUGGAUCCGACACAAUGCGGGCACCGCGCGCUGCGGGGCGGCUCCAUACCUACAUGCCGUCGUGGUGAACACAAGCGGCCAGGGCAAGACGCCCUGCUUCGGCCCCUCAACCCGGUAUGCCGGAAUGCUAGCCUUCAUCCUGCUGGUUCACUCGCCUCCUUGCCGGGGAUAGGUGCUCCCGUAAGAAGUGGUUCGAGCAGUCGGGCGCUCAAGACAUGCCGAGACAUGUCGAGCUGGUGGUGGCGCGUGGGCCCUAGCGCCCCGGCUGCUGCUGCAGCCCCCGACUGCUCUGGCUAGACUGCGACCGCGGCCCGUACGUGCCGAUGGCUGCUGCUGUGCUGCAGCUGCCAAGUAGUCGUCUGCCAUGCGCUAAUGCGGCGAUAUCCGCAAAGCCGCCGCGGACCGCCGGCUCGACCUGGACCCCGCCAGCUCACUGACCUCUCUGCCGAAGGACUAAACCCUCCGCAAAGUGUAGCACGAGCUGGUGCGAGCUCGCCAGCGGUUUAGGCCAGCCAGGCGGCCUGCGGCUUCAAGAGCACAUAGAGCACAGGGUCGCAGCUUAGGCCGGAGCUCCUCAAAAUCCUUCGACAUCGCGACUCGUGCGCGAAUCAUUUCGCCAGAAGUAAGGCGCGGUCCUAUUCCCAGGGCUCCACUCGGACCAGGCUGUCCGCUGAUACUACGUCGCGUAACACGAGGCGCUCCCGCAUGAACGCUGUUGCUGGCGCCGCGCAACUAGCUGAGCUGAGAGGCCCCUGAUACGCAGCAAAGUGUGGAGAGGGCAUCGCAUCGGACCGAGUGGACUGCCGUCGCAGUCCUUCGCCGUAGGGGCUAUUUAUCACCCUCUACUCGAGCUCCCUCGCAUUUGCUAGCUGGCCAAAUGUGCUAGACUUGACUGCCGCUGAACACGCCCGGCCUCCUCGCGCUCACAGGUGAUCAGUCUGCUCGUUCGAGGUCACAGUUACAUAAGCAAUGUACUGUAGUGCCAAUCUGGAGUAUCAGCGGACAGUGCUGAUACUAGGCGUCACUGUCAGCUAAGUGCGCCCCAACAACCGUACGGCAAGUCUCAUGCUCGCCAAGUCACGCACACGCACACCAACCCUAGCCUACACACACACGUCAACCCUUGACCUGCACUGACCCGUACGCCCUGUGACGGCGAUAUGCACUGCCGGCAGAUGGGCUUGACAGAUCGGUGUUUGUGUCAUAGCCUUGGGCAAACCUAACUGAGCAUUUACGUGGUUUCGAGUCCAACUCGGACACCUGCAAUUCAUCUGUGAUCUGUCAGCUGAGAGCACGCACAUGACGGACGCGGGUCUGCUGCACGUGGCGUACGGCUGCCCCGCCCUGCACAGCCUGCACUUCAGCGCCACGGGCUUCACCGAUUGGGGCGUGCGCCGACCGGUGGCGCUGGCAGGGCCUCUGCCCGGUGUUCGCGUCGUGGUCGCAGCAGCAGGGGCCGUCAGGGGCAGAAGGCUGGAGGGGCGGCGUUAAGGCGGCGGGCGCUGUGGGUGCCGAGGCACGGGCGGCUUGCAACCAGAUGGCAGCGCGCUGUUGGUUGGGACAGGUUGGGACGUUGGGUUGCACUUGGGGGGGGGGGCUUGGGGGGGGGGCUUGGGGGGGGGGCUGGGUGACAACUUUGUUGCGGGAACAGGCAUGAGAAAGGGGGGCUAUUGGUUGUAGGCGCCUGGCAGACGGUAUCUGGGGAGCAGCGGGUGCGCCCAAGGGCGCGUUGUGACGCGUUGACCACUCGGCCAGGCUGGGCACGCUAUGGUCAACUCGGCAUGGGGCCGUUCGACAGAGGGCCAAGCAGUUCGGAUUUCCAUAAUAGGUUGCAGUGUUGACGUGAGCUCGAGCAUUCCACAUGUAGUUCUUGAAGCAGCAGCGCAUGUAAAACUGUUCUGAAGUCGCCAAUUACUCGACGUUGCACCCGCCCGACGACAACCCUGGUUGUCAUAGAACAUGCCACCUAGACGGGCUCGAGUCCCUGCAACUCUCGAGAGCCGCAUCAAGCAAGGUCUGCAAUACUUUGCUGACCUGCGCGAAGACACUGCAGCAGACGUUGCCCGUGCCGAGGACCUGGAGGACGCACUCCUUGAAGCUGACGUGAAC
rnacentral:lncRNA from 1 species